rnacentral:lncRNA from 1 species
CAGAUGCCACGUUUGCAUGGUGAGAAUGUCCCUGGAGCACCCCAGGGACGGCCUGUUAACUUCUCAUAAGUGUUGCCCCUUCAUUAAAAAAAUCCUAGCUUUUCCUUUUCCAUACUCCACCUCCUCCCACCCCCAACCGAAGCCCAGAUUUUGAGCAGCACGAGGUGGGAAUUGAAGAACUCCACCAGGGUCAAGCUGUGGCCCUGGGGGGUGCCCUGAGUGGACAGGAGGGCCACAUGGGUCUGCCUCUGAGGAUCAAGCCUGCAUGCUGAGACCUAGGGUGGUCCCUGGCCACUCUCUUUAAGCAUCUGGACAUGUGUUUGACCCCACACUGCCCACACUGAGCUGAGAGUGAGGACGUGCAGUCCCUGUGACUCGGCCCCGAGAAUGCUGCACAGAAAGGGUGGUUUGCUCUUCCUGCUGGACUCCAUUAGCCAUGACCUCUGAGAGCUGUGCUCAGAUGAUCAUCCACCCGGAAAUUUGUUUUUAAGCACCUAAGUCUGUAAGCACGGCUUUCCCUCUAGCUGGGAGUUCUGCCUUAUCC